GACGAACGCUGGCGGCGUGCCUAAUACAUGCAAGUCGAACGCAGUGGGGACGGGUGAGUAACACGUGGGUAACCUCCCAUCAGAGGGGAUACCACUUGGAAACAGGUGCUAAACCGAUACUGAUGGAUGGACCCGCGGGGGAUUAGCUAGUCGGUGAGGUAACGGCUCACCUAGGCCACGAGACAUAGCCGACCUGGGAGGGGGAUCUGCCACCCUGGGACUGAGACACGGCCCAGACUCCUACGGGAGGCAGCAGUAGGGAAUCUUCGACAAUGGACGAAAGUCUGACCGAGCAACGCCGCGUGUGUGAAGAAGGUUUUCGGAUCGUAAAACUCUGUUGUUAGAGAAGCGGUAUCUAACCAGAAAGCAACGGCUAACUACGUGCCAGCAGCCGCGGUAAUAC
rnacentral:rRNA from 1 species